GGCCCGGCUUUUGCUGUCGCUCACUCAUCAGGCCAUCAACGUCGAUGGCCGACUUUCAUCACGACGAAGGCGCCGU
rfam:Pseudomonas entomophila str. L48 chromosome,complete sequence.